rnacentral:rRNA from 1 species
UAUUGGUCAAUGGGCGCAAGCCUGAACCAGCCAUCCCGCGUGAAGGAAGAAGGCGCUAUGCGUUGUAAACUUCUUUUCCAGGGAAAUAAAAUCCGGUACGUGUACCGGAUUGAAGGUACCCUGGGAAUAAGCAUCGGCUAACUCCGUGCCAGCAGCCGCGGUAAUACGGAGGAUGCAAGCGUUAUCCGGAUUUAUUGGGUUUAAAGGGUGCGUAGGCGGGAAGAUAAGUCAGUGGUGAAAUCCUGCAGCUUAACUGUAGAAUUGCCGUUGAUACUGUUUUUCUUGAGUGUGGUCAAGGAAGGCGGAAUGUGUAAUGUAGCGGUGAAAUGCUUAGAUAUUACACAGAACACCGAUUGCGAAGGCAGCUUUCUGGGCCGUUACUGACGCUGAUGCACGAAAGCGUGGGGAUCGAACAGG